GCCUCGGUGGUGUAGUGAUAGCACGCGUCCCCAGCAUGGAUGCAACGUGGAUUCGACUCCCGUCUGAGGUCA